GCAGGGGAGGAGACUUCACUGGACAUCACCAAGGAAGGGCAGCCCCGUAGGAAUGCAAAAGCCACCUAUGUCAAGGUCACAGGCUUUUCUGGGGCAGCUGACAUCCAGUGAUGCAGUACCUACAGGGAUCAAGACCUGGGUAUUUCAACCCAACUUGGGACAGCUCCAGAGCUCCCCAGUGGUGGACCACACUGUUGCUGGGCUGCAUCACAGCUUGACUUUUCUGCCAUCCUGCCUCCUUCCCUCUGUUCCCAGGUGCUGGUCCCAGGGCCCUGUAAUAAACACCCUGCAUAUGCAACUCCAUCUGAGAGCCUGCUUCCCGGGAGCAACCUACAGCGGCCACGCUUAAAAUAUUAAUGCUUAAUCCCAUAGGUGAAUUAAAGUGCUAUUGUUUUUCUAAAGCCGCCAGCUACUGAUGGGUGGUCAGACUGGACACCACUCAUCUGGGUCACUCAUUUUGGCCUCAGAAUGCAGAGAACCUUGCUCCAAACUUGCCAGCUGUGUGACCUUGGGCAAGUCACAGGUUGAUGCUGCAAAAGGGCCAAGGGUGGGGCUAGCACUGAAGAUGGGGCUAGCUGUAGCUUCCAGUCCUUUUCCUAGCUACCGAUCCAGUUUGUGUGGACCAUGAACCAGUGGGCUUUUCUGACCCUCAGUUUCCUCAUCUGUGAAACAGAGAUCAUUCUAUGUGUCUUGCGGAGGCUUGCGAAGAUCAGG
rnacentral:lncRNA from 1 species